CACCCAUCCGCUCCCCGACCCCGAUCCGUCUCCGCCAGCGCGAGUCAUUCCCCGGCGGCUGGCCCUUUUUCCGGCGCGCCCCUUCCCCGGCGGCCGGCGAGCCGUCGGGGCCCUGCUCCGCCGCCCCGGCUCCGGCUCCCUGCUCCCGCCAGGCCGGCUCCCACCUCUCGGCCGGCCGGAGCCGGACCUAGCUCCGCCCGGUGCCCAGUCCCAGACGGCCCGACGCCCCAGGCGCGGCAACGCUUCCUGCUCUGCCACUGCGGGGAGGCGAUCUGCGGACGGCCGCCGCUGCCAAAUCUUCAUUUGCGCUUCAAAGUUGUGCGCAAGUCUCGACGAUUUGUCUCUCUUUUUGUCUCCCACGUGAUUGAUUUCAUGGAAUUGACUGAACUUUUCAUCUUAUUACUUUGAACUCGAUCAUCAAGCUUCCCCUUUCAUACGGAAGAAGCAACUGAUAAAACCUUGCUGACAUCUGCAAUAGAAGAACAUAGGUGUGUAAUCAUGGUUGUUCCCUAUAAGUAUCUACAGUGAUUAUAAUGUACUUUUGCAAUUCUUGGAUCAGCAUGUCUAUGCAGCAUAUAUUUUGCAAGCACUGAACUCGGUGCUUCCAUUUUGCAA